UCUGCCCACGUUGGGGAGUAGCCGCUGCCGGCUGGCAGGGCCGUGUCAACAUCCUUGCGCAGUUGCGCAUGGCACGGUCGGCGGUCCGAGUGACCGGAUUGGCGAGACCAAACGUUCCCGGACGGCCUCGAUGCAGGCCAUCGCGGGGCGUGUGGAUCGCU
rnacentral:sRNA from 1 species